GAUGAACGCUAGCGGGAGGCUUAACACAUGCAAGUCGAGGGGCAGCAUAGAGUAGCAAUACUUUGAUGGCGACCGGCGCACGGGUGAGUAACGCGUAUGUAACCUACCCUGUACAGGGGGAUAGCCCGGAGAAAUUCGGAUUAAUACCCCAUAAUGAUAUCGAGAGGCAUCUUUUGAUAUUUAAAGCUUCGGCGGUACGGGAUGGGCAUGCGUGACAUUAGCUAGUUGGUAAGGUAACGGCUUACCAAGGCUGCGAUGUCCAGGGGUCCUGGGAGGGUGAUCCCCCACACUGGUACUGAGACACGGACCAGACGCAUACGGGAGGCAGCAGUGAGGAAUAUUGGUCAAUGGGCGUAAGCCUGAACCAGCCAUCCCGCGUGAAGGAAGAAGGCGCUAUGCGUCGUAAACUUCUUUUCCAGAGGAAUAAAAUUUUGUACGCGUACAGAACUGAAGGUACUCUGGGAAUAAGCAUCGGCUAACUCCGUGCCAGCAGCCGCCGUAAUAC
rnacentral:rRNA from 1 species